UACCAGCUCCCUGAGUGGUAAGGACGAUUAUUUGGCCUAAAGCGUCCGUAGCCGGCUUAUCAAGUCUCUUGUUAAACCCAAUGAUUCAAUCAUUGAUCUGCAAGAGAUACUGUUAUGCUAGAGGACGGGAGAGGUCGACGGUAGUCCAGGGGUAGGGGUGAAAUCCUAUAAUCCUUGGAGGACCACCAGUGGCGAAGGCGGUCGACUAGAACGUGCCUGACGGUGAGGGACGAAAGCUGGGGGAGCGAACCGGAUUAGAUACCCGGGUAGUCCCAGCUGUAAACGAUGCGGGCUAGGUGUUGGGGUAGCUACGAGCUACUCCAGUGCCGCAGAGAAGUUGUUAAGCCCGCCGCCUGGGGAGUACGGCCGCAAGGCUGAAACUUAAAGGAAUUGGCGGGGGAGCACCACAAGGGGUGAAGGCUGCGGUUU
rnacentral:rRNA from 1 species